CAGACAUGCUGCCCUCUGAACUGGAGACCCAAACUGGGGAAUCCCUAGGAGCACACACAGAGGAUGAGAUUGCAGACGUGCUGCCCUCUGAACUGGAGACCCAAACUGGGGAAUCGCUAGGAGCACACACACAGGACAUGCUGCCCUCUGAACUGGAGACCCAAACUGGGGAAUCCCUAGGAGCAUACACACA